UAAGAGAACAUCAGCGAAGGGAAAGUGAAGAUUGCAGGUACUCUCUCUUUUUUUCUUUUUUUUAGUAUCAUGUUAUAUAGUGGAAUGUAACUCUGCUGUAACUGAGAAUCAAUUAAUCUCAUCAACCGAUUUUGUUGGUUCAGCAUAGAGAUUUAUCAUUUGUACAUAUAUUUUUCUGAAAGGGCAUGGAGGAGUUGAUUGCAGGGAAAUAACUUGAAAAUUGUUUUACAGAAAAAGUAAGAUAAUAAUUUAUGAAUACUUCAGCUUAUUGGUGUGCUGUGUCGAUCUUGAACUAUCGACAUCAAUCCUGCAACUCUUUUUUUUUUUGUUCAGAUCUUUGAAAAGUCUUAUCUUUGCUAGACUUGGUAAUAUCAAGAAUCCUACUCUUCACGGUUUUCUAAUUGUAAAUAUCAAGUUUUCUUGAGUUUUAGAGGUGAAUGUAGAAAAACUGGUAUAUAAAGAACACGAUUUUGUUUAAGCAGAUGAACAACCGAAAAGAACAAAAAACAGAUUUUUUAGCAAAGAGAACAGAGAGCAGAAUAGUCUCCUAUAGGUUACUGUGCCAUCCAUUGUCUUUUAUUUAUAGAAAAAUCAUAACGAUUUUGAUAGGGAUUAUUUAUUCUUUUUAUAUGAUGUCAUAAUGUAUGUAAAUCCCAUAUAUAUCCAUUAUUCUUGAUUUAUUUAAAGUUUAUAUUGUGCUUACUUUGCUUUGCAAUUUGUAUCGUUUAGGACGUUUAUGAACAAGCAUAUAAAAUUUCAAGUCAAGGCUGCCCUUUUUAGAGUAUUUAUUUCAUGAUUCUUAGAAUCUCACGAGUGAAAUAAGUGACCUAUUUUUAUAUAGAAUUAUAAAAAUUUAAACUUUUUUUUUAAAUGAGAUUUUUUAUAUACACUUGCAAAUUAAAUUUUAUAGUGGUAAAUUGAUUCCAUCAAUAAUAUCUUGAUUAUUAUAAAAAAAUUGCAAAUGAAAUUUAAAACUAUAUACAUUGAGAAUCAAGUCCCUAUUAUUCUUGAGCAAAUAUUCCAUAAUUAGUUGUAGUUAUCUACUUCCAUGUGAUGUCAAUAUCAAAUUUACUACUUAAUCUUUUAUCUUGAUUUUGUUAUGGGGAAGAAAUACAAGAUAGAAGCUUAAAGUUUAAUUUAGACGAUCUGUACGAGAAAAAUGGAACAGGAAAUUAAACAAGGGCUAAAGAUGGUCUCCAUCGGGAAAUGAUUAACGCGUGUUAAGGGUGUAGUUGUUGGGGUCUCCAUUGACAAAGCCACCAUUGUGGUGAUGAACCUUGAUGGUGAAAGUGUUUCAAGAUGAUAAUGACAACACACAGUAGCCAAGUGACAUGGAGGAUGGAGAGGGAUGGAAAGUUGGUGAUGGCUUUGGAAAAAAGGCAGAGCUUUAUUUGUGGCAGUGUAUGGUAGUGCUCGACUAAGUGUUUCAUGGCUCUGCUUCUUCUUCAUGCUAGCAUUGAUGUUCAUCAUUUGUCCUCUACUUUUUCAGGUCUGGUAGCUGCAGUUUUUCUUGCUUGCUUUAGAGAGGGGCUGCUGGAUUAGUGUUUGAGUGUUGCAGCUUUCCUUCUUCAGUUUUUUUUUCUUCCCCUGCUUGCUUCCUCAUGGGUUCUGUUUCCAAUUUUUUUCUCUUUGGUCUUGCUUAAUCUGUCUUUGUGGUUUGCUCUUUUUAUGAAAGAUUGAUGACAGCUUCCAUUCUUUUUUCCUUUUUCUUUUUUCCAGUUUAUUAUAUCUUUAACAGCUUCCAUUCUUCCUUUUGAGAUGUUGGUUAGGUUUCUUUGUUGAAGUUGGAUCUCUUUAGGCAGAUUCGCUUCUGUAUUUUUUUUAUUUUGCCUUCUUUUUUCCCCUCCCAUAUGUUUAUGCCCAAAUUGAGGCAUUGUUUGCUGUGUUUUCCCUACAAUGUUUGUUUAAAUUCAGGAGAUGGUUCGUGUUUAUAUAGAUUUUUGUGUAGGAAUUUCUUCAUCCCUGUCGUGUUAAAUAAUUUAAGGGUUUCAAACUCUUUAUAGUUUAUACUUAACGAGAUUGUUUGAAGCAUGGUCGAAGGAAAAUUUCCCACCUGCUACUGUGGGAAUAUAACAAUGGCUUCUGUUACUCAGUCAAAAAUAAAAGAGUGAAUACCAUAAGCAUGGGUAUUGCUAGAGCUAGGAAUUCAAUAUCAAUACUUUUGCUUGAAUGUUAUUUAUGGUUGAUGACUUCUUUUUUUUCCCUCUUCACAGUUUGGGUGUUAGAUUGGAAGGCAGCAACACACCGGUUUUUUGGAUAUAGUCGCCUUGAUACUCUCGAUUCAGUUCAUAUGGCUGAUUUCUAUAGUUUUAAUCUAUGAGCAAUUUAAAUGCAGUCUGCUUAGAAGUUGAGAUGAGAAGAUGAAGGCUUAAGCUGAAGCAGACCAUGGAAAUAUACAGCAGUACAGCUUGCAAAGAAGCACUUUCUGCAAAAACGAAAGUAGUUCCAUUUCAUCAUCAACUGCACGAAAAGUUUGAAAGAAGUUCGCUGUCAUUGAACUCAAUCCUGCAUUUGAACAUGGACUCAGUUGGCUCAGGAAGAAACUUAACUGAAGAUAUCAACGUCUCACAAUUGAAGAUAUCAACGUCUCCAAAGAUUACCCCUGCGAAGUGCGGGCAUCAAAUCUAAGUGUAUAUAUAUAUUUAUAUAAAGGUUCAUAAAAUUUUCUUCA